rnacentral:rRNA from 1 species
UACGUAGGGUGCGAGCGUUAAUCGGAAUUACUGGGCGUAAAGCGUGCGCAGGCGGUUUUGUAAGCCAGAUGUGAAAGCCCCGGGCUUAACCUGGGAAUGGCAUUUGGGACUGCAAGGCUUGAGUGCGGCAGAGGAGACUGGAAUUCCGCGUGUAGCAGUGAAAUGCGUAGAUAUCUGGAGGAACACCGGUGGCGAAGGCGGCAUCCUGGACCGACACUGACACUGAGGAGCGAAAGCCAGGGGAGCAAACGGG